GGUAGUAUCACCAUUCUGUUCCUGCUGCUCUUCGUUUUAACACGUGGCCGUCAGUCCACAAGGGUGGGCAAAACCCAUUGCUAUCAAUCUGGUUGUAAGUGCAUAAAGUGCUUGUGAAUGGUUCCGAGAUGCUCUGGCAGAUGCUGUAUGGGAAGCUUUCAGGCUUCUGCAAAGAGGAAGAAGACACAACACUCUCUGAAGUGGUACCAUCGGAACAUGUAAUGUAGAUGUGCCAAUAAUUACUAAGUAGUCCCCCUUGUACCUCCAUCUGUGAAUCUGUUAUUUGCGUUUUGCAGUAAUGCACAGACAGGUAGAAAUAUACUCACUGUCUGCCUCAGCCUCAGGGCUACUAUCUCCAGUUCCAGGUGACAACAGCUUGCAUGCCAUGUUCUGUACCCUGCUGUCUGCCACCUUUUGCUCCUCUUGGUUCCAGUUCUUCUGUGGGUGUCCCCAAAGCAUUGGUAGAUGUUCUCUAGAGCAACAGUUAUAAAUCAACCCAAAAGCGUUGUGGCCUUUGCUCUUUUUUUUUGCCUUUAGACAUUUGGACAGUGCAGAAAUCCAGGCAGUCACCUUUCACAGCUUGCCAUGUGAAGUGCAGGGAGCUCCCUAGAUGAGGUUUUUCUAAAUUUCUCUUGCUCUGGCUGACUUGUGAUUCACCCAGUGGGGGACUGUUGUGAGAACAUGGUGACAACUGAGCAAAAGAAAAUACAGAACAACACUUGGGGCAAAGCUCCUUGGCAGUGAGAUUAAUUGAGCUUCUCAAGGGGACGCACUGGGAGCACUGUUGUCUGAGAUGUUUAAAAUUGUCUAGGUCAGAAUUUGCAGAGAGUAGUCCUGUCUGGCAAAUGGACAUUCUCAUGGCAAUCGUGGUUCUUUCUCCUCUCUGACAGCUUUUAUUUAUUAUUACUAUUUAUUGUUUUAUUAGCUUCAGAUCGUUGCCUUCACCUCUAGUUCAAUUUUGUUCUGUAUGCUAUACAGUCCAUAAUAAGCACGGUACUAAAUGAUAUGCUUUUGUGCUGAUGCAGUGCUUGUUUGUUUCCCAGUGGAGCAAGGUGAUAUAAGCACAUACAUUAAAUAUAUUUAUGACAAA